AAAAGUGGUACCAUGAAAGUGGUAAACAUAUAAUUUCUCCUUUUUUAUUUUAUUUAAUUUUCUAAAUAUUUAUUUAAUUUUCUGAACUUUUUGAAUUUUUUUAAUGUUUAUUUAGUUUUAUUAAUAUUUCUGAUUGUGUUAAAAAAAAAUUUGAAUUUUUUAAUUUUCGUUUUUUAUUAUUUAAAUAAUAAUUUUUUGAAAGAAAACCUAAACUUCAUCUUUUUACCUGUUCUAUAGGUCAAUCUUUUACUUUGGAUAUUUUUUAUGAUAUAAAUGUUAUUUUGAAAGUUAAAAGUAUUAGUGAAAAAAAAUCAAGGUUUAAAGUGACAGUAGAUGACACUUUGAAGAUUUUUUAUGCGAUUUUUCCUUUUUUGUUCUCCUUCUCCAACUUUUACCAUGGAGCUUGUUGUGUCUCUUUUUUUUUUUUUAACGAUGAUUUAUUAUGAUAUUACGAUUAUGGAAAGAUUGCAUAGACGAUGGUAACCGGUGGAGGAUCCUUAGAGUGGGGUGCGUUCUAGAUAAUCUAGUGUUUAUGAAUUUGGAUUUUUUCGGAUAUCCUUUCAGUUUUGAUAAACCCAUAACCUAAAAUACUGUGAAUCAAAAUCCAUCCAGUAUUUAUAUCAAAUUCGGUAUGAUUCAACUUCAUAUCGAAAUGGUUUUGAAUUAAAUUUUCG
rnacentral:lncRNA from 1 species